GAGCCACGAACCCAAGAACAGGGCCCGAAUGGAGAAAGAUAUGGGUAGGGAGAAAGAGAGAGAAUCGAGAGAAGCGGGCUGAGAUACAGAUACAGAUACGUAGAAAGAGACAAGCGACGAGUAGCGAGCAGGAGCACUAAAACCAGCUUAGUGCACUGGGAACAUAUUUUUUAAACACAUUCGAAAUAACUAAAGAAAAUACUAAAAACUAAUCUUCAUAUUCAGGGAAUGUCAGAUACUCAUAUCAUGUCGUAUAAAUAUAUAGGCUAAAGAAAGGAUGCACACAAAUUUUCUUUUGUAUUACCUAGUAACUUUAUAUAAAGUUCAGGUUUUAAAGGAAACUAGUACGACAUUUCUCUCAGUGGAGGAGAGGAAUUAAACCGAACUCAACCCAACCGGCCGCCAGUCGCACGCUGCUAAGUGGACGAAUGGACCUGCAGACGGACUUAUAUGGAGACUGGCACUGGCGGAGCGUGGAACGUGCAUUCGUACGACGAGUUAUUGUCAGUUAGAGCGCUACCUGUUUACCGACCGACUACCGACUACCACCGACUGCUUUUUUGGGCCCGGUCGAGAGGGUUGGGUACAAUUGGCCCGGGUGUUGCCAGAUAGCUGCCCAUGGAUCGUUAUGGUGGCUUCACCCGCCAAGGAGGUGGAGGGUGUAACUCUGGUAGUCCCCUGUUUAUUGUUAUUCCUUCUUUUUUAGUGUGUGUUUUUUAGGGUGUAUUUUGUUCUUCGGCUUUUGUUGCGGUUUCAUUUGGGCGAAUGACUAAUCAGAAAGCAUUUUUAGGGAGGCAAGGUGAUAAGGUUUCUUCGAAGAAGGGGUUGCUAAGCGGUUGGGGUGAAAUAAACUGCAUUACUCACACGGAUUUACCUGCGAUGACAAGUUCUAAUGUUCUACUGAUAAGUAAAUAUGAUAUUGGCAUAUUUAGUUAGUACCUUUUGCAUUUAUAACCCAAUUGUGGAAAAUUUAUUUAUUUAUGCACUGAUGAUUAAUUGGAAAAUGUACAAUAUUUCAGCAGCCAAGUUGUAAAAUUCAUUUAUGGAAAUGGAUCGUAAAACAAUAUAAGUCUAGAAACCAUGUUAUCGCCAGACUGACUUUUAUUAAAGGUAAUUAAUCCCUAUAGACGAAGGCACGCAACGGAAUUCGUAAGCAAAAUUAAAAAAAAAAAAAUUAAUAAUGGAUUUCAGCUACUUUAAUAGGUCUUCAGUAAACCUUAGCGUUACUAUCCCAGCAAUCUGGCAACCUCUGCUGGCAAUGCAGCAUCAAUGCGGUCAAGAGGUAAAAGAAAAGACGGCAACAAAAAUACCAAAAAUCAGCGAGGGUCCAAAAGUAGAAGGAGUUACGUUUCGGCCACGACGAUGACGAUGGCGAUGAUCAUGGUCGUAAUGAUUCCGAGAUGCCGAAAAGGAAAAACCCGAAAAGUACCCAACAACAGAGAGUCGGAGCCGGAGCCAUGUAAUUAAGGUGGUGCUGCACAGUGGAACUAAAUUGUGGCUGCUGCCACUGCAAAAACAUUUGCUUAAGAAUAUACAGUAUACCCGCAUUAGAUAUCCAUGGUAAUGAGGUCACCGCUGUUUUUCUGAGUGCACGUCGCUUGAAGUAGCUUCCCUGCUUGCAUAUUUUGCAUCGCUUUACGAUUUUAAAAUAAAUUACUUGAAAUUUGUGUAAAA